GAGGCAGUAAACGCUUAUGGAUCGGUUGUUGCGAAGAAGGAACACGAAAAUCUUUGCGAGCAUUUCGAAGAAGGCUAAAGAAUGGUCUCGUUGUGCCUGAGAAGUUGACAGCAUUUACCAAAAGUGCAGCCAUAGGACAAAUAUUGAAGGAACAGAUGAACCACAUAGUGGAACUUUGCAAGAACAUGGAGAUGGAAAUAACUGGAACGGAAAAAGCUAUUCUACUUUACUGAUACCACCGUAGUUGAAGGCCCAAAAGUUACAAAUAAACCGGCAUUAGAAACAGGUUCUUUUUUUGUAUCCUGGCUUAUUUGCAAAAGUUAGGAAUGAAGGGGCUCUUAUUCAAGGGGGGUGCUUAUUUGACAUUUUGGCCAAGGGGGUGGAAGCUUAUAUGGGAGAGGGUACUUAUUGGAGCAUUGACACUUAUUCCAGGAAAUAUGGAACUGGUAAAAAAGUAUAUUAGGUACUUUCUACCCUUGGAGAUCAAAUAUUGUGAAGGGAUGCUCAAACCCCUGAAGAAAAUAACAUCACCUCUUUUAAAAUAGAAUGUAUUUUUUUGUAAGUGCUUGUUCAACAGUUUUUCAUGAUUGAGUUAUACAGAAGACAGCAAUCCAGGGUGAAAGGAACACUGACUUGCUUAGCAUGCACCUAAACAAGAAGAGAUACCCAAAUACUCAGUGAUAUGUGUAUUCCUUGGAAGAGGGAAAAUCUUCCUGUUUUCACAGACUGCAUUCAGUUGGUUUAUCAUAUUUUAAAAGUACAUUAAAACUGGGUGCACCAAGA